rnacentral:rRNA from 1 species
AGAGCGAACGCUGGCGGCAGGCCUAACACAUGCAAGUCGAGCGCCCGUAGCAAUACGGGAGCGGCAGACGGGAUAGUAACACGUGGGAACGCGCCCUUCGGUUCGGAAUAACUCAGGGAAACUUGAGCUAAUACCGGAUACGCCCUUACGGGGAAAGAUUUAUUGCCGAAGGAACGGCCCGCGUCCGAUUAGCUAGUUGGUGAGGUAAUGGCUCACCAAGGCGACGAUCGGUAGCUGGUCUGAGAGGACGAUCAGCCACACUGGGACUGAGACACGGCCCAGACUCCUACGGGAGGCAGCAGUGGGGAAUCUUGCGCAAUGCGCGAAAGCGUGACGCAGCAACGCCGCGUGGGGGAAGAAGGCUUUCGGGUUGUAAACCCCUUUCAGUUGGGACGAAGCUUCGUCGGUUAAUAGCCGGCUGGAGUGACGGUACCUUCACAAGAAGCACCGGCUAACUACGUGCCAGCAGCCGC